rnacentral:rRNA from 1 species
UAAGGUUAAGUUAAUAAGGGCGCACGGUGGAUGCCUUGGCACUAGAAGCCGAUGAAGGACGUGACUAACGACGAAAUGCCUUGGGGAGCUGUAAGUAAGCAAUGAUCCAGGGAUGUCCGAAUGGGGGAACCCGGCAGGUAAUACCUGUCACUCACUACUGUUAAGGUAGUGCAGAGGAAGACGCAGUGAACUGAAACAUCUAAGUAGCUGCAGGAAGAGAAAGCAAAAGCGAUUGCCUUAGUAGCGGCGAGCGAAACGGCAGGAGGGCAAACC